ACCUUGCUUUUACUAAUGAACAGUUACUUUAUAAUCUAUCUAACGGGCAAUUCACUGUUCCAUCUGUCAGUGGACAGUGUUGUCCACCAACUAAUAGUUUUACAAUCAACAAAAUAAAUCAAAAUAAAGGAAUAAUUGUUGGAGGAACAGUAACUGAUGAUGUGUACAUAUUUACUGUGACACAAAAUACAAUUAUACAUUGGGAGAGUAUGAUUAAAAGUGGAUUGAUAUCAGGUGAGGGACUCAGGCCUGUG